GACGAACGCUGGCGGCGUGCUUAACACAUGCAAGUCGAGCGGAGCGGCGAACGGGUGAGUAACGCGUGAGUAACUGCCCCCCUCUCUGGGAUUACAGUUGGAAACGGCUGCUAAUACCGGCUAGUGGGGGAUGACUCGCGUCCUAUCAGCUUGUUGGUGGGGUAGGGGCCUACCACGGCGACGACGGGUAGCCGGCCUGAGAGGGCGACCGGCCACAGUGGUCUGAGGGACGGCCCAGACGCGUACGGGAGGCAGCAGUGGGGAAUAUUGCACAAUGAGGGAGAGUGUGAUGAGGCAGCGCGCGUGCGGGAUGAAGUCCUAGGGGUGGUAAACCGCUGUCAGCCAUGACGCGGUAGUGGCAGAAGAAGCACCGGCUAACUACGUGCCAGCAGCCGCGGUAAUAC
rnacentral:rRNA from 1 species